rnacentral:rRNA from 1 species
CACGUAGGGGGCAAGCGUUGUCCGGAUUUAUUGGGCGUAAAGAGCUCGUAGGCGGUGUGUCGCGUCGGCCGUGAAAACCUGCAGCUUAACUGUGGGCUUGCGGUCGAUACGGGCAGGCUAGAGUUCGGUAGGGGAGACUGGAAUUCCUGGUGUAGCGGUGAAAUGCGCAGAUAUCAGGAGGAACACCGGUGGCGAAGGCGGGUCUCUGGGCCGAUACUGACGCUGAGGAGCGAAAGCGUGGGGAGCGAACAGG